AGAUCAUUAGACCCCCCCUAACCUGAGCGCCGUUUUGACAAAGGACUUCCCCCCUAAUUUUUAUCUUCUUCGUUAAUCCCCAUCAAACCUUGGUGACUACUGCUUCCGCUUCAAAAAAUCGGAGGCUCAUCAUCUACUUCAUGAGAAUUUAACAAAAAUACCUAAGACCUAAAAAAAAGACCAAAAAAAGCUGACCAAAAAGCUGCCUAGAGAGGAAAUAUAGAGAGAGGAAUGAGAGUGACGGCGGAUUCAGAAGUAGAGCUUCCUAAACUUAAUUCUAUAGCGUCGGAUAUUCCACGUUUUGGGCGGAGUCACGUCCCUCGCCGUUAACCUUACUGCUUUUCUGGUCGCUCUGUGCUUUGCCACUAUUUUUUGCCAUAUUUUCCGAGGAGUUCCGAGUUCGUCGAGGUCCUCUUCGGUCGAUAGAAAAUUUUCGGGUCAAAAAUUCCACAAGUUUCAAGGUGCUGUAAUUUUAAUCCAAAUGCAUUUAUAUAAAGGUAUGUGAUGACUCCUGAAUCAUGAAUGAAAUGUAGAGCUGAAGGUUAUGCAACCAAGUUGAAGUGGCUACAUGUUUCUUUGAUCAAAUGCUUAUUGGAUUUCCCUAUAGUCUCUCCACAUGUUCUCUGAUGCAGUUAUCAUGAGUAAUUGUCUAUAUGGUCAAUGUUAUAUUUCAUUUUAAGACUUGGAGUUUGAAUUUGCUUGAAUGUAAUGACUUAGGACCGUUUGGACUUUUAAAUGUGUUGAUGUGAUUAAGAAAUAAGGAUUUUAGUUGAUUAGUUGAAGUUAUUUGGCUUGG